GCAAAUUCGGGUUGGCGACACGGUCCAUCUACCACCAACCUACUGAAGCGCAGCUCAGACCCCAGUGAUUCUAAAUGAGCUGAACUGGACCCAGGCGCUGGAGAAGGUGUUUAUGGAGAACAGUCAAGAGGAUCCUUCACUACUCUGGCAGGCGUUUGGUAGCGCCACUGGGGUCACCCGCUACUACCCAGGAGUGGCAGUGUGAGCGGCCUCACUUUGAAGCUGAUCAAGUCAUCAGUGAUGGAGAUGCUGGACACUGUCUGAUGACGACUAUGUCAACGUG